CUCCAUAACAAAAAGAAGAUCAGGGGAAUGGGAUGCACACAUCCCUCUCAGGUGCCGAAUUGUCAGGGAAUUCCCCAACCCCUGACAAUUCCAGCUAAGAAGCUUCAUGGUCCACUUUGGGGCCAUUUCCGGCUGGCCACCCCCACCUCAGAAUUGUCACUGGAGUACUGAUAGAAUUUUUUUCCUUGAGAGUUGUCAUCUGGAAGAGCUUGGAACUGUCUUUUACGAAGGCUAUUUGAAACACUCAAGCCCUUCGUUGUAUCUGUUUCUGGAUCAACUAAUUCCUGAAUGAUGACAUGAUGCUGCAAAGGAGCUAAGGAUCGAGC
rnacentral:lncRNA from 1 species